rnacentral:rRNA from 1 species
AUUGAACGCUGGCGGCAGGCUUAACACAUGCAAGUCGAGCGAGCGGCGGCCGUGUGAGUCAUGUCUGGGAAACUGCCUGAUGGAGGGGGAUAACUACUGGGAACUGUAGCUAAUACCGCAUACCAUCAGAUGUGCCCAGGUGGGAUUAGCUAGUGGGUGGGGUAAUGGCUGACGUCGGCGACGAUCCCUAGCUGGUCUGAGAGGAUGACCAGGCAGACUGGAACGGAGACACGGUCCAGACGCCUAAGGGAGGCAGCAGUGGGGAAUAUUGGACAAUGGGCGGAAGCAUGAUGCAGCCAUGCCGCGUGUGUGAAGAAGGCCGUCGGGGUGUAAAGAACUUUCAGCGAGGAGGCGGUACUCGCAGAAGAAGCACCGGCUAACUCCGUGCCAGCAGCCGCGGUAAUUC